AACGAACGCUGGCGGCAUGCCUAACACAUGCAAGUCGAACGAGACCUUCGGGUCUAGUGGCGAACGGGUGCGUAACGCGUGGGAACCUGCCCUUAGGUUCGGAAUAACUCCCCGAAAGGGGUGCUAAUACCGGAUAAUGUCUUCGGACCAAAGAUUUAUCGCCUUUGGAUGGGCCCGCGUUGGAUUAGCUAGUUGGUAGGGUAAAAGCCUACCAAGGCGACGAUCCAUAGCUGGUCUGAGAGGAUGAGCAGCCACACUGGGACUGAGACACGGCCCAGACUCCUACGGGAGGCAGCAGUGGGGAAUAUUGGACAAUGGGCGAAAGCCUGAUGCAGCAAUGCCGCGUGAGUGAUGAAGGCCUUAGGGUUGUAAAGCUCUUUUACCCGGGAUGAUAAUGACAGUACCGGGAGAAUAAGCUCCGGCUAACUCCGUG
rnacentral:rRNA from 1 species